GCCGAGCUCUGUAACGUGGGCUUGUCACAAAAUAGAGCAUUAAGGUAUUUGAAUAAUUUGGUAUUGAGCUCAAGGUUGACAUUAUGAGCUAGCUUUGAUUUUGCCCGUUUCCAAGUUGGACAGUGGAUGCUAUGUUUCAGCCUAACGCUUGAAUCAUAUCCUCCCUAAACUUGAGGGUAAUGCGUGAGGCUGGUUUCACAGAGCAGCGAUUACCUCUCACUCUCAACGGUGGAAGGAUUACAAGUCAUUUGCUCAAAUUAUUAAUUAGCCUUGGAAUCCACCAAAUUCAACAAAUAUUUUU
rnacentral:SRP_RNA from 1 species